AGACGUCUACAUUAGAUACCCCCGUAGUCCCAGCCGUAAACUAUGCGCGUUAGGUGUAUCGGUGACCACGAGUCACCGAGGUGCCGAAGGGAAACCGUGAAACGUGCCGCCUGGGAAGUACGGUCGCAAGGCUGAAACUUAAAGGAAUUGGCGGGGGAGCACCACAACAGGUGGAGCCUGCGGUUUAAUUGGACUCAACGCCGGGAAGCUCACCGGAUAGGACAGCAGAAUGAUUGCCGGGCUGAAGACCCUGCAUGACUAGCUG
rnacentral:rRNA from 1 species